rnacentral:rRNA from 1 species
GAUGAACGCUGGCGGCGUGCUUAACACAUGCAAGUCGAACGGAAAGGCUCCUGCUUGCAGGGGUACUCGAGUGGCGAACGGGUGAGUAACACGUGGGUGAUCUGCCCUGCACUUCGGGAUAAGCUUGGGAAACUGGGUCUAAUACCGGAUAGGACCGCAUUUUGGAUGGUGUGGUGGAAAGUUUUUUCGGUGUGGGAUGAGCUCGCGGCCUAUCAGCUUGUUGGUGGGGUAAUGGCCUACCAAGGCGUCGACGGGUAGCCGGCCUGAGAGGGUGUACGGCCACAUUGGGACUGAGAUACGGCCCAGACUCCUACGGGAGGCAGCAGUGGGGAAUAUUGCACAAUGGGCGCAAGCCUGAUGCAGCGACGCCGCGUGGGGGAUGACGGCCUUCGGGUUGUAAACUCCUUUCGCUGGGGACGAAGAGUAAUUGACGGUACCUGGAGAAGAAGCACCGGCUAACUACGUG